UCAGACCCAUCGUUCACCAGUGGGUGCAAAGCCGUCAUUGGGACCCUUACUUAACAGUUAUUGUGCCCAAUUCUAUCUCUACCCCAGGAUAUCAAAUAUCAAUAAAGUGAUUGUACCUUCCUGAUUCAACCGAACUACUGUAACCAGUCGAGAAUGAUCAACGUCAGGAAGGCAUCCGCAUCUCUAAAAUGAUGGAAGACCUCUAGACUUAAUAUUUAAUGAGGAGAUUUGAGCUUAGAUCUUUUCUAAAUUAGUAGAUCUGACAUCUGACUGAUUAAAUUAGGUCAGCACAUCAUCUAACCAUCCU
rnacentral:lncRNA from 1 species